rnacentral:rRNA from 1 species
GCGAGGGGAGUGAAAAAGAACCUGAAACCGUGUACGUACAAGCAGUGGGAGCCCCACCACCAAAGCAUUCUCUGGUGUUGAAGGCCCUGCAAAGCAGCAUCGCGGUGGCGGAGCGUCGUUUGCGACGCCCAACACACAAAACAAGCGGUGAAUGCUUUGGGCGAGGGGAGUGAAAAAGAACCUGAAACCGUGUACGUACAAGCAGUGGGAGCCCCACCACUAAGCCAGUGGUGAACUCCACAUACGCAUCCUUUGCUGAGGAUACGGUUAACGGAGCGAAAGCGACGUUCAACCGCAAAAGAAGCAGAGGGGGCUUAGUGGUGGGGUGACUGCGUACCUUUUGUAUAAUGGGUCAGCGACUUAUAUUCUGUAGCAAGGUUAACCGAAUAGGGGAGCCGGAGGGAAACCGAGUCUUAAUUGGGCGUUAAGUUGCAGGGUAUAGACCCGAAACCCGGUGAUCUAGCCAUGGGCAGGUUGAAGGUUGGGUAACACUAACUGGAGGACCGAACCGACUAAUGUUGAAAAAUUAGCGGAUGACCUGUGGCUGGGGGUGAAAGGCCAAUCAAACCGGGAGAUAGCUGGUUCUCCCCGAAAGCUAUUUAGGUAGCGCCUCGUGAAUUCAUCUCCGGGGGUAGAGCACUGUUUCGGCUAGGGGGCCAUCCCGGCUUACCAACCCGAUGCAAACUGCGAAUACCGGAGAAUGUUAUCACGGGAGACACACGGCGGGUGCUAACGUCCGUCGUGAAGAGGGAAACAACCCAGACCGCCAGCUAAGGUCCCAAAGUCAUGGUUAAGUGGGAAACGAUGUGGGAAGGCCCAGACAGCCAGGAUGUUGGCUUAGAAGCAGCCAUCAUUUAAAGAAAGCGUAAUAGCUCACUGGUCGAGUCGGCCUGCGCGGAAGAUGUAACGGGGCUAAACCAUGCACCGAAGCUGCGGCAGCGAACGUAUCACCCAAGACAACUUUACGGAGUUGACGAUUGACGGAGCGAAGCGACGUCAAAGCGUUCAUUAAAGUCGAGUUGGCUUAGGGAUACGUUCGUUGGGUAGGGGAGCGUUCUGUAAGCCUGUGAAGGUGUGUCGUGAGGCAUGCUGGAGGUA